rnacentral:rRNA from 1 species
GUGAGGAAUAUUGGUCAAUGGGCGCAAGCCUGAACCAGCCAUGCCGCGUGCAGGAAGACGGUCCUAUGGAUUGUAAACUGCUUUUAUUUGGGAAUAAACUCCGGUACGUGUACCGGCCUGAAGGUACCAAAUGAAUAAGCACCGGCUAACUCCGUGCCAGCAGCCGCGGUAAUACGGAGGGUGCAAGCGUUAUCCGGAAUCAUUGGGUUUAAAGGGUCCGCAGGCGGUCUUAUAAGUCAGUGGUGAAAGCCUACAGCUCAACUGUAGAACUGCCAUUGAUACUGUAGGACUUGAAUUCGAUCGAAGUGGGCGGAAUGUGACAUGUAGCGGUGAAAUGCUUAGAUAUGUCACAGAACACCGAUAGCGAAGGCAGCUCACUAGGUCUGGAUUGACGCUCAUGGACGAAAGCGUGGGGAGCAAACAGGAUUAGAUACCCGGGUAGUCC